GAUGAACGCUGGCGGCGUGCCUAAUACAUGCAAGUCGAGCGAACGGACGAGAAGCUUGCUUCUCUGCUGUUAGCGGCGGACGGGUGAGUAACACGUGGAUAACCUACCUAUAAGACUGGGAUAACUUCGGGAAACCGUAGCUAAUACUGGAUAAUAUUUUGAACCGCAUGGUUCAAAAGUGAAAGACGGUCUUGCUGUCACUUAUAGAUGGAUCCGCGCUGCAUUAGCUAGUUGGUAAGGUAACGGCUUACCAAGGCAACGAUGCAUAGCCGACCUGAGAGGGUGAUCGGCCACACUGGAACUGAGACACGGUCCAGACUCCUACGGGAGGCAGCAGUAGGGAAUCUUCCGCAAUGGGCGAAAGCCUGACGGAGCAACGCCGCGUGAGUGAUGAAGGUCUUCGGAUCGUAAAACUCUGUUAUUAGGAAAGAACAUAUGUGUAAGUAACUGUGCACAUCUUGACGGUACCUAAUCAGAAAGCCACGGCUAACUACGUG
rnacentral:rRNA from 1 species